GAUUCCUACAGACAUCACUCGUUUAAAUUUUCUUGCUGUCUUGGAUUUGUCAAAUAAUAACUUGUCCGGAAAAAUUCCAUCAAGCACUCAAUUGCAAAGCUUUGAUGCCUCUGCAUAUUCUGGAAAUGAUGAACUUUGCGGGCUUCCACUUCCAAAUGAGUGCCCAGGAGAUGAAACAACUAUGGAACCUUCUGUCGGUAAAGAUGAUAUCAUUCAAGGAAAUGAGGAUGGAUUCAUAAACUGAGAAUUUUAUGUCAGCAUGGGGCUAGGUUUUGGGGUUGGAUUUGGUGGAGUCUUUGGCACUUUAUUGCUCAAACAUUCAUGGGAACAUGUCGUUUUCAAGUUCUUGAACAACAUAAAAGAUUGGAUCUAUGUGACAACAACAUUGAAUAUGGCCAGAUUGAGGAGGCGGGUUCAAAUCUAAUAGCGGCGAAUAUGGCCAGAGUGUGGAGGCAGCUUCAUAGCUAAUAGGGCAACGUCGAGUUUUGCAUACCCUCUAGCACUACAGCUGUCUCCUAGGCCUCUCUAUUACUUGUACUAGAUUUAGUUAAUGUUGAUUGAACACGGCCAUAUUGUGUUGGACUCUUUGUAUG